rnacentral:rRNA from 1 species
CGGCUCAGUAACACGUAGCUAACCUACCCUUAAGUCAGGGAUAUCCUCGGGAAACUGAGGUUAAUACCUGAUAGAAGACAUGCCCUGGAACGACUUGUCUUUUAAACUCGUGCUUAAGGAAGGGGCUGCGGUGGAUUAGCUUGUUGGCGGGGUAAUGGCCCACCAAGGCGAUGAUCCAUAGGGGCUCUUAGCGGAGAGGCCCCGAGAGGAAAUCUGAGACACUAUUUCCAGCCCUACGGGGUGCAGCAGUUAGGAAUAAUCUACAAUGCGCGAAAGCGUGAUAGUUUGAGCCAGAGUGAUUCUCAUUGAGAAUCUUUUAUGGAAUGUAAAAAGUUCCAGGAAUAAGGACUGGGUAAGACUAGUGCCAGCCGCCGCGGUAAUACUAGCGGUCCAAGUCGCAGCCAUUUUUAUUGGGUCUAAAACAUCCGUAGCUUGCUAUGUAAGUCCCUUGUGAAAUCCCACGUCUCAAACGUGGGUCGUGCAAGGGGUACUGCAUAGCUAGAGACUGGGAGACGUAAGCAGUACGCUCGAAGUAUCGGUAAAAUGAGUUAAUCUCGGACGGACUCACAAUAGCGAAGGCAGCUUACGAGAACAGUUCUGACAGUAAGGGAUGAAAGCUAGGGGCGCAAAACGGAUUAGAUACCCGUGUAGUCCUAGCAGUAAACACUGCACACUAAACAUCGGUACCUCCUCGAGAGGUAUCGGUGCUGCAGAGAAGUCGAAGAGUGUGCUACCUGGGAAGUAUAGUCGCAAGGCCGAAACUUAAAGGAAUUGGCGGGGGAG